UAAGGGAUAUUGGUCAAUGGACGCAAGUCUGAACCAGCCAUGCCGCGUGGAGGAUUAAGGCCCUCUGGGUUGUAAACUCCUUUUAUCUGGGAAGAAAUGUACUUUUUCUUGAGUACUUGACGGUACCAGAGGAAUAAGCACCGGCUAACUCCGUGCCAGCAGCCGCGGUAAUACGGAGGGUGCAAGCGUUAUCCGGAUUCACUGGGUUUAAAGGGUGCGUAGGUGGGCAGGUAAGUCAGUGGUGAAAUCUCCGGGCUUAACCCGGAAACUGCCGUUGAUACUAUUUGUCUUGAAUAUUGUGGAGGUAAGCGGAAUAUGUCAUGUAGCGGUGAAAUGCUUAGAUAUGACAUAGAACACCAAUUGCGAAGGCAGCUUGCUACACAAUCAUUGACGCUGAGGCACGAAAGCGUGGGGAUCAAACA
rnacentral:rRNA from 1 species